rnacentral:rRNA from 1 species
GAUGAACGCUGGCGGCGUGCCUAACACAUGCAAGUCGAGCGAUUCUCUUCGGAGAAGAGCGGCGGACGGGUGAGUAACGCGUGGGUAACCUGCCCUGUACACACGGAUAACAUACCGAAAGGUAUGCUAAUACGAGAUAAUAUACUUUUAUCGCAUGGUAGAAGUAUCAAAGCUCCGGCGGUACAGGAUGGACCCGCGUCUGAUUAGCUAGUUGGUAAGGUAACGGCUUACCAAGGCGACGAUCAGUAGCCGACCUGAGAGGGUGAUCGGCCACAUUGGAACUGAGACACGGUCCAAACUCCUACGGGAGGCAGCAGUGGGGAAUAUUGCACAAUGGGCGAAAGCCUGAUGCAGCAACGCCGCGUGAGCGAUGAAGGCCUUCGGUCGUAAAGCUCUGUCCUCAAGGAAGAUAAUGACGGUACUUGAGGAGGAAGCCCCGGCUAACUACGUGCCAGCAGCCGCGGU